GUUGUGAGGUUAAGCGACUAAGCGUACACGGUGGAUGCCCUGGCAGUCAGAGGCGAUGAAGGACGUGCUAAUCUGCGAUAAGCGUCGGUAAGGUGAUAUGAACCGUUAUAACCGGCGAUUUCCGAAUGGGGAAACCCAGUGUGAUUCGUCACACUAUCAUUAACUGAAUCCAUAGGUUAAUGAGGCGAACCGGGGGAACUGAAACAUCUAAGUACCCCGAGGAAAAGAAAUCAACCGAGAUUCCCCCAGUAGCGGCGAGCGAACGGGGAGCAGCCCAGAGCCUGAAUCAGUGUGUGUGUUAGUGGAAGCGUCUGGAAAGGCGUGCGAUACAGGGUGACAGCCCCGUACACAAAAAUGCACAUACUGUGAGCUCGAUGAGUAGGGCGGGACACGUGGUAUCCUGUCUGAAUAUGGGGGGACCAUCCUCCAAGGCUAAAUACUCCUGACUGACCGAUAGUGAACCAGUACCGUGAGGGAAAGGCGAAAAGAACCCCGGCGAGGGGAGUGAAAAAGAACCUGAAACCGUGUACGUACAAGCAGUGGGAGCACGCUUAGGCGUGUGACUGCGUACCUUUUGUAUAAUGGGUCAGCGACUUAUAUUCUGUAGCAAGGUUAACCGAAUAGGGGAGCCGAAGGGAAACCGAGUCUUAACUGGGCGUUAAGUUGCAGGGUAUAGACCCGAAACCCGGUGAUCUAGCCAUGGGCAGGUUGAAGGUUGGGUAACACUAACUGGAGGACCGAACCGACUAAUGUUGAAAAAUUAGCGGAUGACUUGUGGCUGGGGGUGAAAGGCCAAUCAAACCGGGAGAUAGCUGGUUCUCCCCGAAAGCUAUUUAGGUAGCGCCUCGUGAAUUCAUCUCCGGGGGUAGAGCACUGUUUCGGCAAGGGGGUCAUCCCGACUUACCAACCCGAUGCAAACUGCGAAUACCGGAGAAUGUUAUUACGGGAGACACACGGCGGGUGCUAACGUCCGUCGUGAAGAGGGAAACAACCCAGACCGCCAGCUAAGGUCCCAAAGUCAUGGUUAAGUGGGAAACGAUGUGGGAAGGCCCAGACAGCCAGGAUGUUGGCUUAGAAGCAGCCAUCAUUUAAAGAAAGCGUAAUAGCUCACUGGUCGAGUCGGCCUGCGCGGAAGAUGUAACGGGGCUAAACCAUGCACCGAAGCUGCGGCAGCGACGCUUAUGCGUUGUUGGGUAGGGGAGCGUUCUGUAAGCCUGUGAAGGUGUGCUGUGAGGUAUGCUGGAGGUAUCAGAAGUGCGAAUGCUGACAUAAGUAACGAUAAAGCGGGUGAAAAGCCCGCUCGCCGGAAGACCAAGGGUUCCUGUCCAACGUUAAUCGGGGCAGGGUGAGUCGACCCCUAAGGCGAGGCCGAAAGGCGUAGUCGAUGGGAAACAGGUUAAUAUUCCUGUACUUGGUGUUACUGCGAAGGGGGGACGGAGAAGGCUAUGUUGGCCGGGCGACGGUUGUCCCGGUUUAAGCGUGUAGGCUGGUUUUCCAGGCAAAUCCGGAAAAUCAAGGCCGAGGCGUGAUGACGAGGCACUACGGUGCUGAAGCAACAAAUGCCCUGCUUCCAGGAAAAGCCUCUAAGCAUCAGGUAACAUCAAAUCGUACCCCAAACCGACACAGGUGGUCAGGUAGAGAAUACCAAGGCGCUUGAGAGAACUCGGGUGAAGGAACUAGGCAAAAUGGUGCCGUAACUUCGGGAGAAGGCACGCUGAUACGUAGGUGAAGCGACUUGCUCGUGGAGCUGAAAUCAGUCGAAGAUACCAGCUGGCUGCAACUGUUUAUUAAAAACACAGCACUGUGCAAACACGAAAGUGGACGUAUACGGUGUGACGCCUGCCCGGUGCCGGAAGGUUAAUUGAUGGGGUUAGCGCAAGCGAAGCUCUUGAUCGAAGCCCCGGUAAACGGCGGCCGUAACUAUAACGGUCCUAAGGUAGCGAAAUUCCUUGUCGGGUAAGUUCCGACCUGCACGAAUGGCGUAAUGAUGGCCAGGCUGUCUCCACCCGAGACUCAGUGAAAUUGAACUCGCUGUGAAGAUGCAGUGUACCCGCGGCAAGACGGAAAGACCCCGUGA
rnacentral:rRNA from 2 species